rnacentral:rRNA from 1 species
UACAGAGGCCUCGAGCGUUAGGCGGAAUCACUGGGCUUAAAGCGUGUGUAGGCGGACUUCUAAGUACCUUGUGAAAUCCCACGGCUCACCCGUGGAACUGCUGGGUAUACUGGUCGUCUUGAGCCAUCCAGGGGCUACCGGAACAAAUGGUGGAGCGGUGAAAUGCGUAGAUAUCAUUUGGAACGCCAAUGGUGUAAACAGGUAGCUGGGGAUGUGCUGACGCUGAGACACGAAAGCCAGGGGAGCGAACGGG